CACCUCCACUCUAUCUCUCUCAAUCUUGAAGAAACUAGAAGAUUUAUUUCUACUUUACAUUGGAUGCUAAGCCUAAAAAGAAAUAUUAUUUAGAGAAGAGGUUUUCCUUCGAGGGCACCCCUCAAUCUCUAUGAUAAUUUCUUGUCUCCUCCAGGGGCCAGAGGGGGUCUCCUUAUAUAGUCCUCCCCUUCUAUGCGUUUUUGGGUCGAUAGGCGAGGUGGUACUAUGUUAUUCUGGAUCCAAUAGGUCGGUGGAACGUCGUGUGCGAAGAGAGUCCGGAACGGAGUCUAGAGGGGGGCGGGCGCCCAGGUCCUCAGGGCGGGCGCCCUGGGCCUGGCCCCUUUAGGGCUCCGCUUCCUUCCGGUGGCUUCUGGAGUCUUCUAGAUGGUAGAAAACUGCGCGGUGGGUUGAUAUCUCUAUGUAAUCCCGACAUGUGGGCCUUUCUUCCUUAUUUCCUGAUAACCCCCUGUAGAAAUAGACAAACACCAAAACUCGUGGAAUUCUGUCAGAUAAAACCCUAAGUCUAGAUGUUGAUUUCUUUUGGAUCCUUUUCUUUGUUUAUUUGAUAAUUAAAUUUGAUACUUAAGGACCGUCAACAAACUCCCCCAAGCUUACCUCUUGCUCGUCCCUGAGCAAGGAUGAACUCAAGAGUUUCUGCAGUGGUUUCAUUUCUUAGAAGUACACACGCAUUUAAGCAAGAUCUCAUCUCUGAGUUAGAAUAAACUGUUAAGACUUAAAACUUACUUACUUUACCUACACCAUAGGACUUGUAACCGUCACUUCUGUCUUGAGUGGUUAAAAGAUAGAACAGUCUAGCCAAGUGUCAUGUCUCUUAUUCUUGAUCAGCUAUAGCUCUGGGGUUUUUGCAGAUUUUCAAAUAAAACUCAGAAAUUCCUUGUAUGAUUCUCUCAGGUCUCUCUUUUGUGGUAUUUUUGGAUCCUUACCAAGGCAGUGAUGGUAUAUGCCUUCUCUCAAGAUAUGUAGUAUUUGUGGUAUGAAGCAUAGUGACAUUGUCUUCUCUCUCACCCUACUCUAAUAAGGCUUUAAUAUCUGGAGCUCAUAGGUGGGAGAUAAAGUAUACAUACUUACAAGACAUUUAUUGCAUAGUCAAACCAUGGAUCCAGAGAAACAAGUCAAUAAGUCAAAUCAAGAUGUGCAUGUGUGGCGAAUGUAUGGUGUAUGGUGAUGAUGGUGAUAACAAUGGUGAAAGUCUAAUUCUACUUUUGCUCUUUUAAGGGGAUACAUACCUUUCUUGCACUUAGAAGCUUUUUGGGGAGAAUGAGAUGCUCUAUAUUUUCUUUUUCUUACCUCUCAGGUGGGUAUCUAGUACCCCUAAUUCUACUGUCGGACACUUGUCCAUUUUUACCUCUCGUCUCACUUUUUCUUUUCUUCGAGGUUCCGGGCACUUGCCCCUUUUUAUUUCCUCGUAUAUUAUUUAUUUUUAUUUAUAUUUUUUUUCUUCUUUUUUUUCUCUUUUUUUUUCUUUCUAGAGCACUCAUCUCCUGAAAUAAUGUAGCAAGUGGUAGUAACCAAAAUAACUGGAGCAUUUAUUUCACAGGGAAUAACAGGGAUAGGAAAAUGUUUUUGGCUAUUCUCUCCCGGAUUAGGAGUAGAAUAAUUUUGGGUAAAACUGGAGAUAGAAAUGAGUGGAUAUAUGUGGAUGGUACUUCCGGAGUAGAAGUAGCAUGUAUGAGUAAUCGUGCAAGUGAAUCUUGAUUUUAACCACAUGACAAGCUCCUAAGGGUCUACACAGCUUGACCACACUCAAUGCUCAUAAGCAGUAAAUAGUAAAUGUGUGGCUCAAGGUCUAGCAAGCAUGUAUAUAUGGCUAUGGUAGGAAUUUAAACUCUCAUCAUACAGGAACUCAUCAUGCAACAUUUUAAAGAUUUUCAAAGAUAAAAUUCUCCAGAAUUCUAGCAUCUCUAGGAAUAGAUAAACAGCAGCUCAACCUUCCCAUAUCGUAUCCGUUAACAACUUAGACUUCAGCUCAAGUUUUCAUCCCACAAGUUUAGGUCUAGAGCAAGCCUUAAAUUAUAACAGUUAUAUCUACACUUGAGAGAGAACUUCAAAUUUGCAAAUUAGACAGAGCAACUAUUCAUCAUAUCCAUGCUUAAGUUUUAUUAGAUACAGAUUAGCAUAGCCACUUUAUUUAUUUAUUAAACAUACUAAGCAAAAUAUAUAUAAGCAUAAAAUCUUCAUUUGGUUUUUCAUAGUUAUGUGUAUUUAUAUUCUAAUAUAGUAUAAGUAUAAAGAUAGAUAGAAAUACUUAUCGAGAUAAAUGGGGGUGCUCUCCCCCAAGCUGAAUUUUGACGUAAUUUCUCUUGAUGUAGCUAGCAGGUGGCAGAGGUGUGUUUGAAAGUCAGCAGUAUUUUGACAACGAUUAGAAUGUCCUCCGUCUGCUAGUCUUCUUGAUUCUUAAAUUCUGUGGAGCUCAAAUAGACAACAAAGCUUGUGGAACUAAUUAAGUGUUAGCAUAAAUAUCUAGCCUUCAUCAUGUUGAGCUUCCUUAAUAAAUGUUAUUUAUUUAGCAGGAUCAUAUACUUAUUAUUAUUAUAUAUAUAUAUAUAUAUUUAUAUAUUUUUAAUGUAAGAUGAAAACUCAAAGUUAUCUCAGCAAACCGUCUUUCUCCCCGGCAACGGCGCCAGAAAUGCUUGUUGAUAUUUGGUAACGCAAUAAGGAAACGAUCCGCAAGCGCACGAAUAUCGGUGAGCAUUUCACCCGGGAGGUUAUCUAGAGUUAUCGUAUUUAUAUUUUUACCACUGGGAGAAAGGGUGCAUCUGACUAACCAAAUCUAUUGCUACUAUCUCUUUAGGCUACAAAGAAUGUUUCUCGAUGUGAGUGAUGUAUAGAGAAGACUGCAACCUUAGUCUCGUUCUAACCUUGGUAAGGAUGAUCUACUGUUCUAUUGGGGAGGCUCACGGAAUCUAGACAAUGCAAAGGAUGUUCGACCCGCACCUAUAAACCUACCCGUCCUGCUAACGAGAUGUGAUCUGCAAAGGUAACUCGGAAAUGUCACGUUCCUCGCUACUACCACGGUCCAGCUAGUCAGGGGAUAUCUAUGAGUACCCUAGCCUAAACACCACGUUUACGCUAACAAGUGAUUACUCUAAUACUCAACCGGAAGAGGAUUAAAGUAAACUCAUAAACCAAACAACAAUAAAACAAGAACUUACUAGUAUUAGAAGUCGAAUUACUGAAGAAUCUUAGAAGCAAGCCUCGGGUUAGGAGACUUGAUCCCGCAGGUACAACUCAGAGUAGACACCGACAGGCCGGCCUUCCUCCGAUCCACACCUCCACUCUAUCUCUCUCAAUGUAAUAGAAACUAGAAGAUCUAUUUCUACUUUACAUUGGAUGCUAAGCCUAAAAAGAAAUAUUAUUUAGAGAAGAGGUUUUCCUUCGAGGGCCCCCCUCAAUCUCUAUGAUAAUUUCUUGUCUCCUCCAGGGGCCAGAGGGGGUCUCCUUAUAUAGUCCUCCCCUUCUAUGCGUUUUUGGGUCGAUAGGCGAGGUGGUACUAUGUUAUUCUGGAUCCAAUAGGUCGGUGGAACGUCGUGUGCGAAGAGAGUCCGGAACGGAGUCCAGAGGGGGGCGGGCGCCCAGGUCCUCAGGGCGGGCGCCCUGGGCCUGGACCCUUUCGGGCUCCGCUUCCUUCCGGUGGCUUCUGGAGUCUUCUAGAUGGUAGAAAACUGCGCGGUGGGUUGAUAUCUCUAUGUAAUCCCGACAUGUGGGCCUUUCUUCCUUAUUUCCUGAUAACCCCCUGUAGAAAUAGACAAACACCAAAACUCGUGGAAUUCUGUCAGAUAAAACCCUAAGUCUAGAUGUUGAUUUCUUUUGGAUCCUUUUCUUUGUUUAUUUGAUAAUUAAAUUUGAUACUUAAGGACCGUCAACAAACUCCCCCAAGCUUACCUCUUGCUCGUCCCUGAGCAAGGAUGAACUCAAGAGUUUCUGCAGAGGUUUCAUUUCUUAGAAGUACACACGCAUUUAAGCAAGAUCUCAUCUCUGAGUUAGAAUAAACUGUUAAGACUUAAAACUUACUUACUUUACCUACACCAUAGGACUUGUAACCGUCACUUCUGUCUUGAGUGGUUAAAAGAUAGAACAGUCUAGCCAAGUGUCAUGUCUCUUAUUCUUGAUCAGCUAUAGCUCUGGGGUUUUUGCAGAUUUUCAAAUAAAACUCAGAAAGUCCUUGUAUGAUUCUCUCAGGUCUCUCUUUUGUGGUAUUUUUGGAUCCUUACCAAGGCAGUGAUGGUAUAUGCCUUCUCUCAAGAUAUGUAGUAUUUGUGGUAUGAAGCAUAGUGACAUUGUCUUCUCUCUCACCCUACUAUAAUAAGGCUUUAAUAUCUGGAGCUCAUAGGUGGGAGAUAAAGUAUACAUACUUACAAGACAUUUAUUGCAUAGUCAAACCAUGGAUCCAGAGAAACAAGUCAAUAAGUCAAAUCAAGAUGUGCAUGUGUGGCGAAUGUAUGGUGUAUGGUGAUGAUGGUGAUAACAAUGGUGAAAGUCUAAUUCUACUUUUGCUCUUUUAAGGGGAUACAUACCUUUCUUGCACUUAGAAGCUUUUUGGGGAGAAUGAGAUGCUCUAUAUUUUCUUUUUCUUACCUCUCAGGUGGGUAUCUUGUACCCCUAAUUCUACUGUCGGACACUUGUCCAUUUUUACCUCUCGUCUCACUUUUUCUUUUCUUCGAGGUUCCGGGCACUUGCCCCUUUUUAUUUCCUCGUAUAUUAUUUAUUUUUAUUUAUAUUUUUUUUCUUCUUUUUUUUCUCUUUUUUUUCUUUCUAGAGCACUCAUCUCCUGAAAUAAUAUAGCAAGUGGUAGUAACCAAAAUAACUGGAGCAUUUAUUUCACAGGGAAUAACAGGGAUAGGAAAAUGUUUUUGGCUAUUCUCUCCCGGAUUAGGAGUAGAAUAAUUUUGGGUAAAACUGGAGAUAGAAAUGAGUGGAUAUAUGUGGAUGGUACUUCCGGAGUAGAAGUAGCAUGUAUGAGUAAUCGUGCAAGUGAAUCUUGAUUUUAACCACAUGACAAGCUCCUAAGGGUCUACACAGCUUGACCACACUCAAUGCUCAUAAGCAGUAAAUAGUAAAUGUGUGGCUCAAGGUCUAGCAAGCAUGUAUAUAUGGCUAUGGUAGGAAUUUAAACUCUCAUCAUACAGGAACUCAUCAUGCAACAUUUUAAAGAUUUUCAAAGAUAAAAUUCUCCAGAAUUCUAGCAUCUCUAGGAAUAGAUAAACAGCAGCUCAACAUUCCCAUAUCGUAUCCGUUAACAACUUAGACUUCAGCUCAAGUUUUCAUCCCACAAGUUUAGGUCUAGAGCAAGCCUUAAAUUAUAACAGUUAUAUCUAAACUUGAGAGAGAACUUCAAAUUUGCAAAUUAGACAGAGCAACUAUUCAUCAUAACCAUGCUUAAGUUUUAUUAGAUACAGAUUAGCAUAGCCACUUUAUUUAUUUAUUAAACAUACUAAGCAAAAUAUAUAUAAGCAUAAAAUCUUUAUUUGGUUUUUCAUAGUUAUGUGUAUUUAUAUUCUAAUAUAGUAUAAGUAUAAAGAUAGAUAGAAAUACUUAUCGAGAUAAAUGGGUGUGCUCUCCCCCAAGCUGAAUUUUGACGUAAUUUCUCUUGAUGUAGCUAGCAGGUGGCAGAGGUGUGUUUGAAAGUCAGCAGUAUUUUGACAGCGAUUAGAAUGUCCUCCGUCUGCUAGUCUUCUUGAUUCUUAAAUUCUGUGGAGCUCAAAUAGACAACAAAGCUUGUGGAACUAAUUAAGUGUUAGCAUAAAUAUCUAGCCUUCAUCAUGUUGAGCUUCCUUAAUAAAUGUUAUUUAUUUAGCAGGAUCAUAUACUUAUUAUUAUUAUAUAUAUAUAUUUAUAUAUUUUUAAUGUAAGAUGAAAACUCAAAGUUAUCUCAGCAAACCGUCUUUCUCCCCGGCAACGGCGCCAGAAAUGCUUGUUGAUAUUUGGUAACGCAAUAAGGAAACGAUCCGCAAGCGCACGGAUAUCGGUGAGCAUUUCACCCGGGAGUUUAUCUAGAGUUAUCGUAUUUAUAUUUUUACCACUGGGAGAAAGGGUGCAUCUGACUAACCAAAUCUAUUGCUACUAUCUCUUUAGGCUACAAAGAAUGUUUCUCGAUGUGAGUGAUGUAUAGAGAAGACUGCAACCUAAGUCUCGUUCUAACCUUGGUAAGGAUGAUCUACUGUUCUAUUGGGGAGGCUCAAGGAAUCUAGACAAUACAAAGGAUGUUCGACCCGCACCUAUAAACCUACCCGUCCUGCUAACGAGAUGUGAUCUGCAAAGGUAACUCGGAAAUGUCACGUUCCUCGCUACUACCACGGUCCAGCUAGUCAGGGGAUAUCUAUGAGUACCCUAGCCUAAACACCACGUUUACGCUAACAAGUGAUUACUCUAAUACUCAACCGGAAGAGGAUUAAAGAAAACUCAUAAACCAAACAACAAUAAAACAAGAACUUACUAGUAUUAGAAGUCGAAUUACUGAAGAAUCUUAGAAGCAAGCCUCGGGUUAGAAGACUUGAUCCCGCAGGUACAACUCGGAGUAGACACCGACAGGCCGGCCUUCCUCCGAUCCACACCUCCACUCUAUCUCUCUCAAUCUAGUAGAUACUAGAAGAUCUAUUUCUACUUUACAUUGGAUGCUAAGCCUAAAAAGAAAUAUUAUUUAGAGAAGAGGUUUUCCUUCGAGGGCCCCCCUCAAUCUCUAUGAUAAUUUCUUGUCUCCUCCAGGGGCCAGAGGGGGUCUCCUUAUAUAGUCCUCCCCUUCUAUGCGUUUUUGGGUCGAUAGGCGAGGUGGUACUAUGUUAUUCUGGAUCCAAUAGGUCGGUGGAACGUCGUGUGCGAAGAGAGUCCGGAACGGAGUCCAGAGGGGGGCGGGCGCCCAGGUCCUCAGGGCGGGCGCCCUGGGCCUGGCCCCUUUCGGGCUCCGCUUCCUUCCGGUGGCUUCUGGAGUCUUCUAGAUGGUAGAAAACUGCGCGGUGGGUUGAUAUCUCUAUGUAAUCCCGAUAUGUGGGCCUUUCUUCCUUAUUUCCUGAUAACCACCUGCAGAAAUAGACAAACACCAAAACUCGUGUAAUUCUGUCAGAUAAAACCCUAAGUCUAGAUGUUGAUUUCAUUUGGAUCCUUUUCUUUGUUUAUUUGAUAAUUAAAUUUGAUACUUAAGGACCGUCAACACUAGCCCUAGGGUAGCAUUAUACUAUAAGAACUAUAUACUAAAAUGUAUGUCAUAUCAUUUUCACUAGAACUAUAUUCUAGUUCAUAUGCUAGCAUCAUAAAACUGGGCCUAUGAUCUAUGUCAUAUACCAUAGCAUAAGAACUAUACUCUAGUUCAUAUGAAGAACUAUAUCGGACAUGAUAAGGCAUGGACUUGGAGUAAAGAUAUUCUUUAUUCGUACCCAAGUUUCUCUCCAAGGAGCCAAGCCCUCCUUGAUAGCUCACCCCACUCUCUCUCUAAAAGCCAAAAGGAAAAACAAAGAAGAGGUAGUGCCCAAGUGCCUUGAAGGUGGAGUGUUGAUUGUGAAUGUGAUGAGAUGAUUGGAGCCUCCCUCUCCCCCUCCUUAAAUAGGUGGGGAAGGUUGGUUCCCUAUGGUGUAAACUGCAAUUUGCACGCGGGGACUGCGGGAGGAUAGGCUCAGCACCGCCUCUGCGAAAGGCAGUGCCGAGAUGGGCUGGGUCAGGGUCGGCCGACCCUUGGGGGCGGCCGCCCCCUGGUGGGCCCCGCUGGCCCUGGCCCGAAGCCCGUUGCCUUCCUCUCGGGCCCCUGAGUCCAGAUCCACCUGCAAAUUGAUGCACUUCUAUAUUGGGCUUUUGGGUACUUGUUUAUUUGCGCAUUUUUUGACAUGUCGGAUUGCGCCUUUUUAUUUGCUUUCCACCUGUAUGCCUGUAUAUGAUCUGCAAAACACAACUUGCACUACAUGUGGAACUUGGUAAGCAUUUAAUAAGUAUAUGUGAGUAAAAUACAUGCUUUUCUUCCUUUGCAUGGACUAUGUUGGCGGGGUAAAUAUGUCAUUAAGAACUGCCAACAAACUCCCCCAAGCUUACACCUUGCUCAUCCUCGAGUAAGAAGCUAAGAUCUUGGUUGUUGAUUAGGAGUUGCUACAAUAUUUUCACUUCUAUCCAGUACAUACCUUCAAACAAGAAUUCUCCUUUGAAUUUUGAACAGAUAUGUCAUGGGGCUUAUUGCUCAUACCUUGGGUCCUUAAGCAUUUGCAGGAUGGAUUUGAUCAGAUCGAGUGCUACAUCCCUAGUUCUUUACUUCACCUUUGUUUCGGAGUUUUUGAUUUUCAAAACUUAGCACAUUUAUUUGUCAAAUUAAACAAUGGAUCCAAAGAGAAAGUUAAUCAUACCAUUGAAUUUUUGAAAACUUUUUCUUUUCCAUCAUUCUCUUUUUGUCUAUUAGAGACACAUGGCUAUGUGGCUAAUUCUACUGUUGGGCACUUGCUCAUUUUUUUAUUUUUUUUGAGGUUCCGGACACAUGUCCCUUUUUAUUUCCUCGUGAUCUUUCUUUUUGAGGUUUCGGACACAUGUCCCUUUUUAUUUCCUCGAAUGCUUUUUUUUUCUUUUUCAUAGCCAUAUGCCUUCUAACAAACUUUUGAGAUGAUAACAUAAUGAAAUAUUUUUGUUUUCAAUGGUAUGACAACCUCUCAAAGGGUCAACAAAGCUUAAUCUAACUCAAUGUGAUUAUUUUAUUUUUGUAAAAACUCCAGAACUCUAGCGUUGUUUAGAACAGGAUACUAGCAGCUCAGAUCAUCACAAAUAUAUCCAUUAAUUACUUUAGACUUUAGAUAGAGCAUUUUGCAACCCACGCAUUUAAUAAUUUUAUUAAUUUAGAGAAUUCAAGGUUGAAACUAGAUACUAGAAAGAAAUUAUGAUAGAGCAACUAUUCAUCAUUUCAACAAGGAAGAAGCAUAUAUCUUACAUCACAUAUAAGAGUGGAAUUAUAUUUUUGUCUUUUUAGCAUUUUUCAUUUUUUUAUAUGCAAUAAUUAAAACAUGAAUUUAACUAAUGGAAAUUUCAUAAAGUAAACAUGCUAAUUUAAAAUUAAGGAUGCAUGAAAAUAAAUAUGCAAUGCAGAUAACCUCGGGAUUGGGGGUCCUCCCCAAGCUAGCUUCUGGACUACUGAUCGGGGUUUAUUAUUAUUAUUGUUUUAUUUUUUUCAGGGCUUACCUUUUUAGGUCUGGUGAGCAAGACCUUUUUCUCCCGUGCUUGGUGAUGGAUCUCCUUGUCCGGGAGAAGUGGACGGAGAUGCUUGUUCUUUCUUUGGCCUCCACUUCAUCUGAUUGUUUUUUGGUGGUGUGGUGGCCUUUUGGAUCUCCUUCCAUACCUUCUUUGGUGGAAGGGGACUCUCUUUUUCUUCUGGAGCCUUGUUUUGCUUACAAGCUUUAUUUUGCUCCUCAUGUUUCUUUUUGGGAGCUGCCUUUUUCUUUUGCUCCGGCUUUUGUGUAGGUCUUUUUACUGAUUUAGAGAUGCUAUAAAUAAUUUCAGGCUGUAUCUGCACCUCUUUUAUCUGUUUAUUUGGUCCAUAUCUAACCUGGAUCAUUGAGCAUUGCUCUUGAUGCCUUGGUUUGAACUCAAACUUCUCCUCCUUCCCAUUGAUGUGUAAACUGAUCUUUACUUCCUUCACAUCAAUCUGUGCUCCUGCGGUGCUCAAGAAGGGUCUCCCAAGGAUCAAUGGUGAUUCCUUGGUUAGCUCCAUAUCACGCACCACAAAGUCCACGGGAACAAACAGUCCUCGGAUUUGUACUGGUACAUCUUCGGCUAUUCCCAUUGGAUGCCUGACCGAUGAGUAGGCCAGUUGGAGAGUCAUCGUGGUUGGCUUGAGUUGAGUGAAGUUGAGCUAGUCAAAGACAACUUUAGGCAUCACACUUACGCUUGCACCUAAAUCACAUAUCGCAUGAUCAAAGCACUGAGUUCCGAUUGAGCAUGUGAUUGUAGGGAACCCCGGGUCCUUCCUCUUCUCCGUGAGACGGUUGAGUAUAGCAGCGCUACACUCUUCCGUCAGCUUAAUUGUUUCAGUGGAUGGCAGUGGGCGCUUGUUGUUGAUGAUAUCCUUGAUGUACUUGGCAUAAGAAGGUACAUGUAGAACGUCCAUCAAAGGAACACUUACAUGUAUCUUCUUGAUCAUCUCAACAAAGCGAGUGAAUUGUUCAUCCACAGCUUGUUUUCUAUUUCUUGUGGGAAAUGGCAGGUACGUGGUGUCUGUGUACCCCAAUGGGUCUUUUGGUGCCAUUUCCUCUUCUUCUGGUCUGACAUCUUUUGGGUUUUCUUUGUUAUCUCCUGUUCCUCUUUGCCCUUCACUGCAUCAGGGUUAGGGUUCGGUGGAUCACGAGUGGUCUUACCACCCCUCGUGGUCACCGCUUUUACAUUUUCAGAAUUAUUUUUAUAUUUAGUAGGAAGGGCAGCAUCUAUCUGAGCUAUUUGUGUUUCAAGCAUCUUAUUAAAGCUCAGUUGAUUAUGAACAGAAGAAGUCAAGUUUUCUAAUUUCAUAUUGACGUUUUCUAAAAUUUUGUCGUUGGACAGCAUCUUUUUGGUUAAGCUUCCAUUUAUUUUAGCCUGUCCAAGAACUAAGUCUUUUAAUGAAGGUUGGUUUGAAUUAAAACUCGAAUUACCUUGGAAUGAAGAGCGUGACUGAUUAUUCCAACCAUUACCUUGGUUGGCGCCUCCUUGUUGGCGGAACCCGUUGUUGAUGUAGGCAGCGUCUUCACGGGUUUCGGGGCAAUCAUUCCUCAAAUGGCCAACUUCUCCACAGACCUCGCACGUCAUGUGCGAGUCUGUGGCCUUCACCGAGUUCGAGGGGUUUUCUUGGUUCUUUUCGGUGAGUUGCUUCAUCAAUAAAUCUAUUUUUGCGGCAAGCAUAUCCGUCUCCUUCACGGUAUGCAUGCCUUUUUGUGUUUUGGCAGCUGGUGGUUGAGUUCUGUCCUCCCCCCAGCUCUGGUGUUCUACCAUCUUCUCGAUCAGGGCCUUGGCCCCGGCGGUGGUAAGUGAUAGGAACGCGCCUCCAGCGGCGGCGUCUAGGUGUCCCUUCGAUAUGGGCGUGAGCCCAUUGUAGAAGUUCUAGAGCACCAUCCAGUUCUCCAUGUCGUGAUGGGGCAGCUUAGGAUGUACUCUUGUAGCCGCUCCCAUGCUUCAGGGAUUGUUUCGCUGGCAUUUUGUUGAAAACUGGCAAUCCUUCCCCUCAAAGCAUUAGUUUUGCUUAUGGGAAAGAACUUGGCGAGGAAUGCCGCGGAGCAUUUUGCCCACGUGGUGACAGCUUCCUUAUCUUGAUAGAACCACCUCUUCGCCUUCCCCACUAGGGAGAAAGGAAAGAGGCGGAGCCGAAUGACAUUAGGAGUGAUGUCCUUGAUGACAAUCGUGUCACAUAGCUCUAGGAAGUGUUGAAGGUGUGCAUUCGCAUCCUCGCUUGGCAAGCCGCAGAAUGGGCUCGCCUGCACCAUGGUGAUUAGGCCGGUGCGUAGCUUGAAGUUAUUGCCGGCCGUGUCAACAGCGAGGCCAGUGGCCACGUUGGUGACAGCGGGCACGGAGAACUCGCGGAGUGUCUUCUUUGCGGCCAUGAGUUCGUUCGGGGUUGGUGCGGUACCGGCUGGUUCACUUGUCGGUGGAGUAGCAGAAGACGAAACGGUUCGAGACUGUCUAGUCCUUAGGAGUGCCUCGGGAUCGGAGAUGUAGUUUUCCGACAAAGCGAAACCAGGCAUACACUAUUCCUCCUGUUUCAUCUUCAACAGCGAGAAAACAGGCAGAGGUAGCCUGCAUAACAAUUGACUCAUUACGCACAUCAGAUUACUUGAUUAUAUUUAUCUAGAAUCAUUUUCAUAUUAGCCUUCCCCGGCAACGGCGCCAAAAAUGCUUGUUGGCAUUUCUUAACGUCAUCACUAAGAACAGGGUUUAAUCUGUCCUCAGCAACGAUGUCAGAAAUGUCGUGAUAACACUUAGUAAUGCAAUCACCAAGAUUAGAGUAUAAAUCAUUCCUAAGCAACGGUGCCAGAAAUGCUUGUUAGCGUUUCAUAGUGUCGCUACCUAGAAUAGGGUUCUGCUCUACUCAUGAUAAUGACAUUGGCAGUGUUAUAUUGGUAGAUCCGUAGCAUCACCACCUUGAAUAGGAAGCUAGAUCUACCUUCCCGAUAACGGCGCCUUAUUACCGUUAGGGUAGGGUUCCAGUUCUUAAUCAUGGUAGUGGCACUAGGAUUGCCAUGUUGGUAUUCCUUAACAAGUCGCUAGCUCGGUGCAUGUCUAGCAACAGUGUUAAGUAUAUACCGGGGUGAUAGUUCCAUAGGUUUGGAGUUUAAGUACCGCAAGCGGACGGGAAUUAUCAUGUAGCAUUUCAACCCGGGGAUUUACUGAGUGUCGUAUUUAUAGGUUCGCUCUAAGGAAGGCUUCAUAUGUUAAGGAUUCUAAGAUAAGCAUAGAUCAAAGUAAUUAUGAUAGCAAUAAUGGAAUCAAAAGUCAUAGCAGGUGAUAAACAUUUAUAUGUUGAAUAGUGAUCCAUCACAAUCUAGGCAUGGCAUAUGGGCUAAGGAAGAAAAAGAGACUAAAAGAAUGAAUUGAAUCAAAGAAUAAACAAACAACCUAUUGGAGCAGGUGUGGUCCUAGAUACAGAUCAUGUCAUAGAACAUGUUAAUCAUGUAAUUAUACUACUUAGAUCUAGUCCUGUGUUUAGAUGGUUUGGGAGGUUACGCGAGUACUGGUCUGCCAGCAACCUCCGCAACUAUUUAGACUCCUGCACCCUAGCCAAACGUGGGAGAAUGCCAAUGACGGACAGGGCUGUCACCACCUGCCGCCAUCCCCUCAACCGUGGACUAGGACAAUGCAUUUACCCGGCCUUUACACCCAAGCACCAUGCUUACAUACAAAGAACAUACUCGGACUCCCCCGGGUCCCCGACCCUACGGAUCGACGGGUAAGAAGCCCGAGCCUACUCAAUAGAGCAUGAUAAACCCCCAUCUUCACACAAAGCUAUUUCUUGGCAAUUAAUUAACAUGAAGCAAUUAGACCAAAGUCCUAAGUGAGAAUAAUACAACAUACACUUAGCACUAGUUCAUAUAAUACACUACUAGCCCUAGGGUAGCAUUAUACUAUAAGAACUAUAUACUAAAAUGUAUGUCAUAUCAUUUUUACUAGAACUAUAUUCUAGUUCAUAUGCUAGCAUCAUAAAACAGGGCCUAUGAUCUAUGUCAUAUACCAUAGCAUAAGAACUAUACUCUAGUUCAUAUGAAGAACUAUAUCAGACAUGAUAAGGCAUGGACUUGGAGUAAAGAUAUUCUUUAUUCAUACCCAAGUUUCUCUCCAAGGAGCCAAGCCCUCCUUGAUAGCUCACCCAACUCUCUCUCUCUAAAAGCUAAAAGGAAAAACUAAGAAGAGGUAGUGCCCAAGUGCCUUGAAGGUGGAGUGUUGAUUGUGAAUGUGAUGAGAUGAUUGGUGCCUCCCUCUCCCCCUCCUUAAAUAGGUGGGGAAGGUCGGUUCCCCAGGGUGUAAACUGCAAUUUGCACGCGGGGACUGCGGGAGGAUAGGCUCUGCACCGCCUCUGCGAAAGGCAGUGCCGAGAUGGGCUGGGUCAGGGUCGGCCGACCCUAGGGGGCGGCCGCCCCCUGGUGGGCCCCGCUGGCCCCGGCCUGAAGCCCGUUGCCUUCCUCUCGGGCCCCUGAGUCCAGAUCCACCUGCAAAUUGAUGCACUUCUAUAUUGGGCUUUUGGGUACUUGUUUAUUUGCGCAUUUUUUGACGUGUCGGAUUGCACCUUUUUAUUUGCUUUCCACCUGUAUGCCUGUAUAUGAUCUGCAAAACACAACUUGCACUACAUGUGGAACUUGGUAAGCAUUUAAUAAGUAUAUGUGAGUAAAAUACAUGCUUUUCUUCCUUUGCAUGGACUAUGUUGGCGGGGUAAAUAUGUCAUUA
rnacentral:lncRNA from 1 species